ensembl:lncRNA
UGCAGGCCAGGCCUGGAGGUCGGGGGUCUGGGCUGGAUGCCGCACUGGCGUUCUUGGUCAGCGGCCGAGAGGCUUUGAUCAGGGUGGUCCUGGCCUGGCCUGCUUUCCCCUCUGUAAAAUGAACGUGUGGGGUGAAUGCUAACCGCUGGGAGAAGACGGUCAGCGCUGCAGUGGCCGAGGCUUAUGUGGACAUUGUGCGUGGUGACACGGUGUGUGGAGACGUGCAUCUGUGACUCCUGCAGUGUGCAUGAGGUCGCCAGCCGCUUUGCGUGCUUUGGAGGAGGGAGCAGAGCCGUGAUGUGGAAGGUGUCUGGGUGCCUGGUUGACCUUGAGAAGCCGAGCCAUGAAACCAGCCCUGGUGAUGAUUGAGAGAGAAGAAGCUCUUCCUCUGUUUCAGCCACUCAUCUGGUGGACCAUGCGGACGUGCAGGGAAUGUGAUGAAAGCGCCGAAGAGAAUCUCAGACCCCUGGCUUGUAGAGAACCUUUCAAGGUCAUCCUCUCCAAUCACCCUGCUUGCUGAGGUUUGGACUUCAAAGGCUCUUGAUAAAGGAAGCAGCUGCUCCAUAACUCAACAUCGCUUUGAACAUGAAGCUGUCGACAGCUACACUCCGUGACUCGCACAGAGAGUUGCAAUCAAGUUUCAGGAGCCCAAGGGUUUGUGGGAAGCACUCAUGGUGCAGGCACGGGAUCCACGUUGGUGGCAAGUAAAGCAGAC